UGCAGUGAGCCAAGAUUGCACCACUGCACUCUAGCCUGGGCAACAGAGUGAGACUCUGUCACAAAAAAAAAAUUAAAUGCUGAAUGCUACCAAGAAGCAGCUUCUCCACUCCUUCUGGAAUCUCUGUCUGGUUCAGCCUGCCUGCCUCCACUCCUGCCUCUACCAUGUCCAUCAGGAUGACCCAGAAGUCCUACAAGGUGUCCACCUCUGGCCACCGGGCCUUCAGCAGUCACUCCUACACGAAUGGGCCAGAUGCCUGCAUCAGCUCCUCAAGCUCCUCCUGAGUGGGCAGCAGCAUCUUCUGGGGUGGCCUGGGUGGGGGCUAUGGUGGGGCCAGCAGCAUGAGAGGCAUCACUGACAUCACAGUCAACCAGAGCCUACUGAGGCCCCUUAACCUGGAGGUGGAUCCCAACAUCCAGGCCUUGCGCACCCAAGAGAAGGGGCAGAUCAAGACCCUCAACAACAAGUUUGCCUCCUUCAUAGACAAAGUACGAUUUCUGGAGCAGCAGAACUAGAUGCUGGAGACCAAGUGGAGCCUCUUGAAGGAGCAGAAGACAGCUCGGAGCAACAUGGACAAUAUGUUCGAGAGCUACUUCAACAACCUUAGGUGGCAGCUGGAGACUCUGGGCAUGAGAAGCUGAAGCUGGAGGCGGAGUUUGGCAACAUGCAGGGGCUGCUGAGGAUGAGAUCAAUAAGCUUACAGAGAUGGAGAAUGAAUUUGUCCUCAUCAAGAAGGAUGUGGAUGAAACUUACAUGAACAAAGUAGAGCUGAAGUCUCACCUGUUAGGGCUGAGGAGAUCAACUUCCGGAGGCAGCUGUAUGAAGAGGAGAUCGGGAGCUGCAGUCCCAAAUCUCAGAUACAUCUGUGAUGUUGUCCAUGGACAGCAGCCGCUCCCUGGACGUGGACGACAUCAUCGCUGAGGUCAAGGCACAGUACGAGGAGAUCGCCAACCACAGCGGGGCUGAGGCUGAGAGCAUAUACCAGAUCAAGUAUGAGGAGCUACGCAUGCUGGCUGGGAAGCACGGGGAUGACCUGUGGCAAACAAACACUGAGAUCUCUAUGAUGAACCGGAACAUCAGCUGGCUCCAGGCUGAGAUUGAGGUCUUAAAGGGCCAGGGGCUUUCCUGGAGACUACCAUCGCAGAUGCUGAGCAGCGUGGGGAGCUGGUUGUUAAGGAUGCCAAAGCCAAGCUGUCUGAGCUGGAAGCCGCCCUGCAGCGGGCCUAGCGGGACAUGGCGCGACAACUGUGUGAGUACCAGGAGCUGAUGAACAUCAAGCUGUCCCUGGACAUCAAGAUCGCCACCUACAGGAAGCUGCUGGAGGGCUAGAAGAGCCGAUUGGAGUCUGGGAUGCAGAACAUGAGUACCCAUACGAAGACCGCCAGCUGCUAUGCAGGUGGUCUGAGCUCAGCCUAUGGGGGCCAUACAAGUCCCGGCCUCAGCUAUGGCCUGGACUUUAGCUCCUUCAGCCACACCAGCUCCACCAGGGCUGUGGUUGUGAAGAAGAUUGAGACCCGCGAUGGGAAGCUGGUGUCCGAGUCCUCUGAUGUCCUGCCUAAGUGAACAGCCAUGGCAGCCCCUCCCAGAUUGCCCCUCCUGGGACUGUCCCAGAGCCCGGGAGGAAGGCCCCUGUGCAGGGUAGCACAGUGAACAGGAGACCCACCUGAGGCUCAGCCCUAGCCCUCAGCCCACCCACGGGGGAGUUUACUGCUUGGGGACCCCCCUUGCCCAUGCCUCCAGCUACAAAACAAUUCAACUGCCUUUUUUUUCUUUUCUUUUGGUCCAAAAUAAAACCUCAGCUAGCUCUGCAAAAAAAAAAAAAAAAAAAAAAAAAA